CGGGCCGUAGCGCAGUCUGGCUAGCGCGCCACCUUGGGGUGGUGGAGGUCGCAGGUUCAAGUCCUGUCGGCCCGA
rnacentral:tRNA from 2 species